CCUACGGGAGGCAGCAGUGGGGAAUAUUGGACAAUGGGGGGAACCCUGAUCCAGCGACGCAGCGUGAGUGAAGAAGUAUUUCGGUAUGUUAAGCUCUAUCAGCAGGGAAGAAAAUGACGGUACCUGACUAAGAAGCCCCGGCUAACUACGUGCCAGCAGCCGCGGUAAGACGGAGGGGGCAAGCGUAAUCCGGAUUUACUGGGUGUAAAGGGAGCGUAGACGGUGUAGCAAGUCUGGUGUGAAAGGUCGGGGCCCAACCCCGGGACUGCAUUGGAAACUGUUGAACUGGAGUACAGGUGAGGUAGGCGGAAUUCCUGGUGUAGCGGUGAAAUGCUUAGAUAUUACGAAGAACACCAGUGGCGAAGGCAGCUUACUGGACUGUAACUGACGUUGAGGCUCGAAAGCGUGGGUAGCAAACAGGAUUAGAUACCCUAGUAGUC
rnacentral:rRNA from 1 species